CCUACGGGUGGCAGCAGUGGGGAAUAUUGGACAAUGGGCGAAAGCCUGAUCCAGCCAUGCCGCGUGUGUGAAGAAGGCCUUCGGGUUGUAAAGCACUUUCAGUGGGGAAGAAAGCCUUGGGGCUAAUACCCUCGAGGAAGGACAUCACCCACAGAAGAAGCACCGGCUAACUCCGUGCCAGCAGCCGCGGUAAUACGGAGGGUGCGAGCGUUAAUCGGAAUUACCGGGCGUAAAGCGCGCGUAGGCGGUCUGAUAAGCCGGUUGUGAAAGCCCCGGGCUCAACCUGGGAACGGCAUCCGGAACUGUCAGGCUAGAGUGCAGGAGAGGAAGGUAGAAUUCCCGGUGUAGCGGUGAAAUGCGUAGAGAUCGGGAGGAAUACCAGUGGCGAAGGCGGCCUUCUGGACUGACACUGACGCUGAGGUGCGAAAGCGUGGGUAGCAAACAGGAUUAGAUACCCUGGUAGUC
rnacentral:rRNA from 1 species